CUUUUAAAUCCACCUUGCCAGCACUGGACCAACGUCAGCCAUUCCAUUGGGUCAACACAAUGUAAUUUUGUC